GGCAGCACGAUGUAGCAAUACAUUGGUGGCGACCGGCGCACGGGUGAGUAACGCGUAUGCAACCUACCUAUCAGAGGGGAAUAACCCGGCGAAAGUCGGACUAAUACCGCAUAAAACAGGGGUUCCACAUGGAAAUAUUUGUUAAAGAAUUAUCGCUGAUAGAUGGGCAUGCGUUCCAUUAGAUAGUUGGUGAGGUAACGGCUCACCAAGUCCACGAUGGAUAGGGGUUCUGAGAGGAAGGUCCCCCACACUGGUACUGAGACACGGACCAGACUCCUACGGGAGGCAGCAGUGAGGAAUAUUGGUCAAUGGGCGAGAGCCUGAACCAGCCAAGUCGCGUGAAGGAUGAAGGAUCUAUGGUUUGUAAACUUCUUUUAUAUGGGAAUAAAGUGAGGAACGUGUUCCUUUUUGUAUGUACCAUAUGAAUAAGCAUCGGCUAACUCCGUGCCAGCAGCCGCGGUAAUACGGAGGAUGCGAGCGUUAUCCGGAUUUAUUGGGUUUAAAGGGUGCGUAGGUGGUUAAUUAAGUCAGCGGUGAAAGUUUGUGGCUCAACCAUAAAAUUGCCGUUGAAACUGGUUGACUUGAGUAUAUUUGAGGUAGGCGGAAUGCGUGGUGUAGCGGUGAAAUGCAUAGAUAUCACGCAGAACUCCGAUUGCGAAGGCAGCUUACUAAACUAUAACUGACACUGAAGCACGAAAGCGUGGGGAUCAAACAGGAUUAGAUACCCUGGUAGUCCACGCAGUAAACGAUGAUUACUAGCUGUUUGC
rnacentral:rRNA from 1 species